GCUUUCCUACGGGACGCAGCAGUGGGGGAUAUUGCACAAUGGGGGAAACCCUGAUGCAGCAACGCCGCGUGAGUGAAGAAGGUCUUCGGAUUGUAAAGCUCUGUUCUUGGUGAAGAUAAUGACGGUAGCCAAGGAGAAAGCUCCGGCUAACUACGUGCCAGAAGCCGCGGUAAUACGUAGGGAGCGAGCGUUGUCCGGAUUUACUGGGUGUAAAGGGUGCGCAGGCGGCUCUGCAAGUCAGGCGUGAAAGCUAGGGGCUCAACCCCUAAAUUGCGCUUGAUACUUGGGAGCUUGAG
rnacentral:rRNA from 1 species